AUGGCCCACGUUAAUGUCAACCUCAACUUCAACGCGUUCCUAGAGAAAACCAAGCUGAAAGACGAUGGUAGCAACUAUACGGACUGGGUCCGGAACUUGAGGAUUAUCCUCAUAGCUGCCAAGAAAGCAUAUGUCCUUGAAGCACCGCUAGGUGAAGCACCCGUCCCAGCAAACCAAGACGUUAUGAACGCUUGGCAAACACGUGUUGAUGAUUACUCCCUGGUUCAGUGCGGCAUGCUUUACAGCUUAGAACCGGGGCUCCAAAAGCGUUUCGAGCAGCACGGAGCAUCUGAGAUGUUCCAAGAGCUGAAAAUGGUUUUCCAAGCUCAUGCCCGGGUCGAGAGAUAUGAAGUCUCCGACAAGUUCUACAGUUGUAAGAUGGAGGAGAAUAGUUCCGUCAGCAAACACAUACUCAAAAUGUCUGGGAUGCACAACCGCUUGUCUCAGCUGGGAGUUAAUCUCCCGGAUGACGCGGUCGUUGACAGAAUCCUUCAGUCACUUCCACCUAGCUACAAGAGCUUUGUAAUGAACUUCAAUAUGCAGGGGAUGGAAAAGACCAUUCGUGAGGUAUCUUCAAUGCUGAAAUCAGCGGAGGUGGAGAUCAAAAAGGAACAUCAAGUAUUGAUGGUGAAUAAAACCACUAAGUUCAAGAAAGGCAAGGGUAAGAAGAACUUCAAGAAAGACGGCAAGGGAGUUGCCGCGCCCGGUAAGCAAGCUGCCGGGAAGAAGACAAAGAAUGGACCCAAGCCUGAGACUGAGUGCUUUUAUUGCAAGGGAAACGGUCACUGGAAGCGGAACUGCCCCAAGUACUUAGCGGAUAAGAAGGCCGGCAAUACCAAAGGUAUAUGUGAUAUACAUGUUAUUGAUGUGUACCUAACCAGCGCUCGUAGUAGCUCCUUGGUAUUUGAUACCAGUGCGGUUGCUCAUAUUUGUAACUCAAAGCAGGAACUGUGGAAUAAGCGGAGACUGGCGAAGGACGAGGUGACGAUGCGCGUCGGGAAUGGUUCCAAGGUCGAUGUGAUCGCCGUCGGCAUGCUACCUCUACAUUUACCUACGGGAUUAGUUUUAAACCUCAAUAAUUGUUAUUUAGUGCCAGCUUUGAGCACGAACAUUGUAUCUGGAUCUCGUUUGAUGCGAGAUGGCUACUCAUUUAAAUCCGAGAAUAAUGGUUGUUCUAUUUAUAUGAGAGAUAUGUUUUAUGGUCAUGCCCCGCUGGUCAAUGGUUUAUUCUUAAUGAAUCUCGAACGUGAUGUUACACAUAUUCAUAGUGUGAAUGCCAAGAAAUGUAAGGUUGAUAAUGAUAGUCCCACAUACUUGUGGCACUGCCGCCUUGGUCACAUUGGUCUCAAACACAUGAAGAAACUCCAUGCAGAUGGACUUUUGGAGUCUCUUGAUUAUGAAUCAUUUGACACGUGCGAACCAUGCCUCAUGGGAAAAAUGACCAAGACUCCGUUCUCCGGAACAAUGGAGCGAGCAACCAACUUAUUGGAAAUCAUACAUACUGAUGUGUGCGGUCCAAUGAGUGUUGAGGCUCGCAGUGGCUAUCGUUAUGUUCUCACCCUCACUGAUGACUUGAGUAGAUAUGGGUAUGUCUACUUAAUGAAACACAAGUCUGAGACUUUUGAAAAGUUCAAGGAAUUUCAGAGUGAGGCUGAAAAUCAACGUGACAGGAAAAUAAAGUUCUUACAAUCAGAUCGUGCAGGGGAAUAUUUGAGUCACGAAUUUGGCACACACUUAAGGGAAUGUGGAAUUGUUUCACAACUCACGCCGCCUGGAACACCUCAGCGUAAUGGUGUGUCCGAACGUCGUAAACGCACUCUAUUGGAUAUGGUGCGAUCUAUGAUGUCUCUUACCGAUCUACCGCUAUCAUUUUUGGGUUAUGCUUUAGAGACUGCCGCAUUCACUUUAAAUAGGGCUUCGUCGAAAUCCGUUGAGACGACACCGUAUGAAUUAUGGUUUGGAAAGAAACCUAAGCUGUCGUUUCUUAAAGUUUGGGGAUGCAAUGCUUAUGUCAAGAAACUUCAACCUGAAAAGCUCGAACCCAAGUCGGAAAAAUGCGUCUUCAUAGGAUACCCUAAGGAAACCAUUGGGUAUACCUUCUACCUCAGAUCCGAAGGCAAGAUCUUCAUUGCCAAGAACGGGUCCUUUCUGGAGAAAGAGUUUCUCUCGAAAGAAGUAAGUGGGAGGAAAGUGGAACUUGAUGAGAUGACCCCUCUCGAACCAGAAAGUAGCGCGGCACAAGAAAAUGUUUCUGUGGUGCCUACACCGACUAGAGAGGAAGUUAAUGAUGACAAUCAUGAUCAAGUUACCACUGAACUUCGUAGGUCCACAAGGACACGUUCCGCACCAGAGUGGUACGGCAACCCUGUCCUGGAAAUCAUGUUGUUGGACAACGGUGAACCUUCGUACUAUGAAGAAACAAUGGCGGGCCCAGAUUCCAACAAAUGGCUUGAAGCCAUGCAAUCCGAGAUAGGAUCCAUGUAUGAAAACAAAGUAUGGACUUUGACAGACUUGCCCGAUGAUCAUCGAGCGACAGAAAAUAAAUGGAUCUUUAAGAAGAAGACGUACGCGGAUGGAAAUGUUACCAUCUAUAAAGCUCGACUUGUCGCUAAGGGUUAUCGACAAGUUCAAGGAGUUGACUACGAUGAGACCUUCUCACCCGUAGCGAAGCUGAAGUCCGUCCGAAUCAUGUUAGCAAUUGCUGCAUUCUACGAUUAUGAAAUAUGGGAAAUGGACGUCAAAACGGCAUUCCUUAACGGCUUCCUUAAGGAAGAAUUGUAUAUGAUGCAGCCGGAAGGUUUUGUCGAUCCUAAGAAUGUUGACAAGGUAUGCAAGCUCCAGCGCUCAAUCUAUGGGCUGUUGCAGGCAUCUCGGAGUUGGAACAUUCGCUUUGAUGAGAUGAUCAAAGCGUUUGGGUUUACACAGACUUAUGGAGAAGCCUGUGUUUACAAGAAAGUGAGUGGGAGCUCUGUAGCAUUUCUCAUAUUAUAUGUGGAUGACAUACUAUUGAUGGGAAAUGAUAUAGAAUUCUUGGAAAGCAUAAAGGCCUACAUGAAUAAGUGUUUUUUUAAUGAAGGACCUUGGAGACGCUGCUUACAUAUUAGGCAUCAAGAUCUAUAG
rnacentral:rRNA from 1 species